ACGGAGUCCGAUGGUAGCUCUUUCGUCGGACCUCUCCGGAGACGUCGAUUUAGCUCCCGAUCGUGCGGCUCCCCUUCUUUUUUUACUCCUAACCUUCCGAAAAAUAAUGACGUUUUUGGAGAGUAAAUUAGCGGCAGUUAUUGCUUCCCUUACCACGCCCAGGCCCAGUUCAGCGCUAACGCCGCCCAGUCGGCCGUCGUCCUCGCCCAGACCCCCAUCCCGCUGCUCCCCAUCCCGUCGUCCUCGCCCUGUUCCUCGUCGUCCUCGCCCUGCUCCCCAUCUCGCCCUGCUCCCCAUCCCGCUGCUCCCCAUCUCGGGUAUCCAUGGACGCCGCCGUCCGGCGCCCUAGAUCGGCAGCGAAGGCUUAGCCGGGUUGACCAGGCCACAGUCUGGCUGAAGCAUCGAGGCUGGAGGCUGCUUCCACGGCAAACGUGCUUCCCCGCCGUUCUUCGAUGACGCAGGUGUAGACGGCGCCGUUCACCAGCGAGGGCUGGGCACUCCAGGCAGGUUGCUGCAGCCUAAGUCCCAGCUUGCACGGACCAUUCUAUGCAGUGAUGGCAACAUGUGUGUUAGUGAUGUUGCUAUACUGCCGACACGCCGUUGCUGGGACACAAAUGACUUAUUGAGGAGCUUGGAGCGCAUGGGAGAUCGUCCAUGAUUAACCCAUACAACGGUCAAUAAUGCUGGUUAAGGAGAAGUGAAAAACUUGUUGUGAUAGUGUUUCAUUUUGUCAACACAAGAGUUGUAAUUUUUUGUUUAAAUCAAACUAAUUUGUUCAUUGCUUCGUGCUUCAUGGUGUGCUUCCACAGAUUUCUCUUGUGAAGCAAAUAUUUUCAUGAGACUAAAAUUUGCUUGGUGGCAUCAAAAGUAGUAUUGGUAGAUCAAAAUAUUACCAUGUAUAAAUAAAUAUUUGUAUUUGUCACAGAAAGAAUGUCCCAUGAUGCGAACAAUAUGUCUCUAGCGCCACAAAAAAGAUGCUUCCAUU